GGUCUCGUGGGGGAGUUUGGAGUCCCCACUGGUUUGUCACACCAGAGAUCACCGGUUCAAAUCCGGUCGAGACCG
rnacentral:tRNA from 1 species